rnacentral:rRNA from 1 species
CAGCGGCGGACGGGUGAGUAAUGCCUAGGAAUCUGCCCGAUAGUGGGGGACAACGUUUCGAAAGGAACGCUAAUACCGCAUACGUCCUACGGGAGAAAGCAGGGGACCUUCGGGCCUUGCGCUAUCGGAUGAGCCUAGGUCGGAUUAGCUAGUUGGUGGGGUAAAGGCUCACCAAGGCGACGAUCCGUAACUGGUCUGAGAGGAUGAUCAGUCACACUGGAACUGAGACACGGUCCAGACUCCUACGGGAGGCAGCAGUGGGGAAUAUUGGACAAUGGGCGAAAGCCUGAUCCAGCCAUGCCGCGUGUGUGAAGAAGGUCUUCGGAUUGUAAAGCACUUUAAGCUGGGAGGAAGGGCAGUAAGUUAAUACCUUGCUGUUUUGACGUUACCAGCAGAAUAAGCACCGGCUAACUUCGUGCCAGCAGCCGCGGUAAUACGAAGGGUGCAAGCGUUAAUCGGAAUUACUGGGCGUAAAGCGCGCGUAGGUGGUUCAGCAAGUUGGAUGUGAAAGCCCCGGGCUCAACCUGGGAACUGCAUCCAAAACUACUGGGCUAGAGUAUGGUAGAGGGUGGUGGAAUUUCCUGUGUAGCGGUGAAAUGCGUAGAUAUAGGAAGGAACACCAGUGGCGAAGGCGACCACCUGGACUAAUACUGACACUGAGGUGCGAAAGCGUGGGGAGCAAACAGGAUUAGAUACCCUGGUAGUCCACGCCGUAAACGAUGUCAACUAGUUGUUGGGUUCCUUGAGGACUUAGUAACGAAGCUAACGCGAUAAGUUGACCGCCUGGGGAGUACGGCCGCAAGGUUAAAACUCAAAUGAAUUGACGGGGGCCCGCACAAGCGGUGGAGCAUGUGGUUUUAAUUCGAAGCAACGCGAAGA